GAGGAAUAUUGGUCAAUGGGCGGGAGCCUGAACCAGCCAAGUCGCGUGAAGGAAGAAGGAUCUAUGGUUCGUAAACUUCUUUUGCAGGGGAAUAAAGUGCAGGACGUGUCCUGUUUUGUAUGUACCCUGAGAAUAAGGAUCGGCUAACUCCGUGCCAGCAGCCGCGGUAAUACGGAGGAUCCGAGCGUUAUCCGGAUUUAUUGGGUUUAAAGGGUGCGUAGGUGGUUUGAUAAGUCAGCGGUGAAAGUUUGCAGCUUAACUGUAAAAAUGCCGUUGAAACUGUCGGACUUGAGUGUAAAUGAGGUAGGCGGAAUGCGUGGUGUAGCGGUGAAAUGCAUAGAUAUCACGCAGAACUCCGAUUGCGAAGGCAGCUUACUAAGCUACAACUGACACUGAAGCACGAAAGCGUGGGGAUCAAAC
rnacentral:rRNA from 1 species